CUUUUUUCACUAUUUCAAUUAUAGUUAUUGUCAGAUAAUGUAAAUAAAAAUAAAAUUCAGUCCCACUGGGCAAGUAAACAAGAAGAAAGUAGAACUGAAGCAAAGACUGCAGCAACAGCACUAUCCUGAAAAAAUUAUUACGUACACUUGUCAAAUAUCAAGAAUGACAGAAGCAUUCAUUCUUAGCUCAUACUCGUGGAAGCUUAAAAAUGUUCAACUCCUCUUAAAUACUGUGGCCAUUGGCCAAGUUAAACAAUUGAACUGCAAAAGCAAAUAUAAAUGUGUUCCGGGUAAAAAUUUACCGACUAGAAACUUCACCUUCUUGGAGACCUAGCGCCAAGAAGUCAUUGGUCUAAAGCCAGGUUGGUAAGAUUCCCAUCCCCCCAUUGGUUCCAUCUUCAUGGGUGCAUCAGACAAAGCAUGCUGUUGGAAAGAUCUCAUUUGAUCUUCUGUUGUUGCAUUAUUUAUAGGAAUUGAGAGUUGUCUGCCAUUUACUCCCCAGCUUCCAGUCUCUGAUGAAGUUAUCCCUCCAUUUGGCCCAAAAUUGGGCCUCAUGAUUGCAAUGUCAUUGAAGCAGGGUCUAACAUGACCCUGCAUGAGAUGCGGAGUCCCAGAAAAGGCAGAGAGGGCAUUGGAACCAAAGAUACCCGGGAAAAAGGCAGUUACUUGUGGGUUUAUUAUGUUGUAUGAAAUGGCACCAGGAGGAUAGUCAUUUGAGGAUAUGCGGUUGUUAGGGUCAAUGAAGAAUGCAUUAUUACAUAACAAUGUAUGUGGAAAAGAUGAUGGAGGUGGAUAUGAUGCAUAAGUUGGCCUUUGCUGCUGGGAAAUAGCGGUUUGCAUUUGUUCAACUGAGGGAAGGAUAGUGGAUGCAGUCAUCAGGAAGGGUUUGCCCUCACCAUGAUUAAAUCUCUGCAUUGUACUUAAAUUUCCCCUGUGUGAUGAUUCUACAGCAUUAAAUUUCUGUUGUUUUGCAUUUCCCUGGAAAGUAACUACCGAAUCACCAAACACUUCGUCUCUCAAUGCUGAGGUCCCCAGUGCUAGCGGGUAAGAAUCACUACAGAUAUCUGCAGAUGUUGGGUCAUCAUUUAAAUCAAAAUUCUUAACAGAGCCUCUUGAUAAUGAUGCUGGUGCACACCGUUGAUGAGAAUUUUCAUCAUUUUCACUGACACAAUUGAGGUCCACUUUGAACUUUUCUGCUUGUGAUGAACUAACCUCCAUAGAACAGUCUUCAGAAGGGAAACUUGACACUGCUCGAAGGCAUUUCUCUGGAAGUAGUUCUGUUUCACUAUCACCUCCUUCAGCAGAAACGUUGAGGUCAAUCCAAUUAACCUGUGAAGAUUUUGAACCAUUGUUACUGUCCAAAGGAGAUGAUGCCUUGAUCCUUUUUGUGCUUUCAAGAACAGAAGCUGGCCGAAAAGCACUAGUUGCAGCAGAUCCCCUCCAGCCAGCUGCGUUCCCAUCAAGUUGUAUAUGGAGUUUAGGUAAGCAUAUAGGCAUUCCAGAUUUAGCCACCAUAGGUAUUGGCUUUGACACAAUUUCUGCAUGCAAAGAUAUAACUUCGUUGAUUGAUUGCUUCUGGUAAUCCACUUCAUUUGCAAGGAUAGUUUCAUUAAGAUCAAUUCCAGAAACACCAGUAGGCUGGUCAUUAGCAGUUAUAUCUUCUGAUUCUGUAAUAAAAGGAGAUGAUCCCUGCCCAUGCAUGCAAUCAUUAGUUUUGUGCUUCUUCACAUCAUCCCUGUAUUGUGAUGGCUCUUUAACUUCUAUGCACAACUCCUCAUUUCUAGUUGACAUUUCCAGACUCACCUCACCAUUGGUGGAACCAAACCUAUCAUACCUAUCUCGUUUAUAGCCAGACUGGAUUUUGCUUCCAGUUUCUGUUAAGCUCCAUUUAUUUGAAACAGAAGAAUCAACAGAGCUCGGAUGAACAAUCUCGCCACAUCUGUCUUGUAUAGCAGAGCAACUUCCUGAGGCCUCAUUGUACAUCCCAACUUCUUGCUCCACAUCACUUACAACUCUUUGGUUUAACUCAUUCCAUGGCUUCACUUCAGCAAACUCUGCAUUUUCUUUCUUGGGUGAAAUGGAUUUCUGAAGGUCACCUUUCUCCAAGAACAUGGAAUUACCAUCUGCAAUCAUCUCUACAAGCUUAUGACAAUCUCUUGCUCCAGCAUUGUCAACAAUUUUUGAAGGGUCACGCAUAUGGCCUUGCUUUUCAGGUGAAAAGCCUACAUGAAUUUGCACUGCCAUACACAGUAGUGAAUUUUUUACUGCAGGCUCCUCCAGGCUGCAAGUUAAGUUACUACAUGUGGAAGUAUCAAUACCACAAGGCUUACUAAGCUCACUUGACUUGGCAUCCACUGAUGUUUCCUGACAGCUGUCAUUUGAAGAGCUUGGAAGGAUCACACGUAUUGAGUUGGAAGAGGAGGACUCAGUUUUAAGUUGCUUGUUAUGAUAAGUUGCCAGUAUCACGGACUUCAAUCCGUUUUCAUCUACAUGUAGCUCCUUCAUUCUUCCACCUGUUAAUUCAUUGGUUUCUUUGCUGAGAGUUUGCCUUCCCUCCAAGCUGAAAUCAUUCUUCAUCGAAACAUUAUGUGUAGAAUCAAUAACCCAGGGUGAAGAAGCAGAUACAUCACAAUCCCUUGGAUUUCCACUGCUUGGCACUACCCCACAAGUUCUUUCAACACGGUUCUUUUUCUUAAGUUCUGAACUUCUUGAAGGAGAAACAGAAGAUAAUAGUGCCGAAUCACCAGCAUUUUCUAUGCCACAAUAAAUUGAAGAAGUAUGAUCAUGAAUUAAAUGCUUCCUUUCCAUUUUUGUUGAUUGUGCAGAUUCACAACUACUGAUUUCAGGGUCAGAAACAGAACCACGCAUCUGCUUACCCAAUCCAGUAUCUCCACCAGCAGGUACUCUAUAAGAAUCAGAUAAGCUCUUUGCCUUCCCUAAACAAUCUGCCUCUUCAGGUGAACAAAAGUGCCCAAAACCAGCCAUUCCACUUGCAUUUAGAUUAUGCUGAAUGCUGAUCCAUCUUUAGUCUAAUAUAACUUUAAGGCGGAUAACUGUAGCCAAGAGUGCGUUUUGGUCAAUGGCCGGCAACUCUGAUCAAAGGAACAUCACUGAUAUUAAAAUGCUUUGUGCAAUUGAACUGCACAUUGUCACAGAAAAUCUAGCAAAAAGCAUAUCACUUGAAUAACACAUACAAGCACUCAUGAUUCAUUUUGCAUCAUAGGCCACUUUCUCCAUGCAAAGUUAUCAAGUCCAUCAGUCAUUGAACUUGAAUAUCAAAAUACAACUCCACAGCUCGAUUUCUUAGUUUCAAUUAAUCACAUGAUCAUUCAAGGACAAGCAUGCUUCCUGUGUCAUUAGUGGGUACCUGUUCUGAGAGAAUACCAAUUGUAAAGCAAGUAGUACACCAGCUUCAGCUUUCAGAGAAAAACAAAAGAAACACAGGAAGAUUUGAUAUCAUUCGACCUCCAAUAACCGUAACCAGCCAGAAAACAGAGAGAAUCCGACCCUAGUUCCUCCUGGCUAUAAAAGCUGAAGCCUAAGAAAACUGUAAAGGCCUUCUUCUCUUAAAAAAGAAAGGGCAGGGCUUUGGUUUGCUCACUGGCAUCCAAAAAGUCCAAUCCACCUAAAGGGAUCCCCACUUUUCUCUCCCAUUGUCAUUCAAG
rnacentral:misc_RNA from 1 species